rnacentral:rRNA from 1 species
AUCGAACGCUGGCGGAAUGCUUUACACAUGCAAGUCGAACGGCAGCACGGGGGCAACCCUGGUGGCGAGUGGCGAACGGGUGAGUAAUACAUCGGAACGUGCCCAAUCGUGGGGGAUAACUACGCGAAAGCGUAGCUAAUACCGCAUACGAUCUACGGAUGAAAGCGGGGGAUCGCAAGACCUCGCGCGAAUGGAGCGGCCGAUGGCAGAUUAGGUAGUUGGUGGGGAAAGGCUCACCAAGCCGUCGAUCUGUAGCUGGUCUGAGAGGACGACCAGCCACACUGGGACUGAGACACGGCCCAGACUCCUACGGGAGGCAGCAGUGGGGAAUUUGGACAAUGGGCGCAAGCCUGAUCCAGCCAUUCCGCGUGCAGGAUGAAGGCCCUCGGGUUGUAAACUGCUUUUGUACGGAACGAAAAGCGCUGAGUUAAUACCUCGGCGUCAUGACGGUACCGUAAGAAUAAGCACCGGCUAACUACGUGCCAGCCGCCGCA